GAUCCUGGCUCAGGACGAACGCUGGCGGCGUGCUUAACACAUGCAAGUCGAACGAAAAGACGGAAAGAGCUUGCUCUUUCCGGAAUUGAGUGGCAAACGGGUGAGUAACACGUAAACAACCUGCCUUCAGGAUGGGGACAACAGACGGAAACGACUGCUAAUACCGAAUAAGUUCCAAGAGCCGCAUGGCCCAUGGAAGAAAAGGUGGCCUCUACCUGUAAGCUAUCGCCUGAAGAGGGGUUUGCGUCUGAUUAG
rnacentral:rRNA from 1 species